CAGAGUAGGAAAUGGUGCGUAAUCAGAAGCAUCGGAUCGGAAAACGAUUCGGGGAGUCUGGUUGAGUGCCCGACAGACGGGGAGUUGCUGCCGGGACGAAAAGCGAGUCAGAUCGCUUGCGGUACUGUUUCCGCAUCCCGCUG
rnacentral:ncRNA from 1 species